ACGCACGCUGGCGGCAGGCCUAACACAUGCCAGUCGAGCGGACCCUUCGGGGUUAGCGGCGGACGGGUGAGUAACGCGUGGGAAUAUGCCCUUCUCUACGGAAUAGUCCUGGGAAACUGGGGGUAAUACCGUAUACGCCCUUUGGGGGAAAGAUUUAUCGGGGAAGGAUUAGCCCGCGUUGGAUUAGGUAGUUGGUGGGGUAAUGGCCUACCAAGCCGACGAUCCAUAGCUGGUUUGAGAGGAUGAUCAGCCACACUGGGACUGAGACACGGCCCAGACUCCUACGGGAGGCAGCAGUGGGGAAUCUUAGACAAUGGGGGCAACCCUGAUCUAGCCAUGCCGCGUGAGUGAUGAAGGCCUUAGGGUUGUAAAGCUCUUUCAGCUGGGAAGAUAAUGACGGUACCAGCAGAAGAAGCCCCGGCUAACUCCGUGC
rnacentral:rRNA from 1 species